UACGUAGGGUGCAAGCGUUAAUCGGAAUUACUGGGCGUAAAGCGUGCGCAGGCGGUUGUGUAAGACAGAUGUGAAAUCCCCCGGGCUCAACCUGGGAACUGCAUUUGUGACUGCACAGCUGGAGUGCGGCAGAGGGGGAUGGAAUUCCGCGUGUAGCAGUGAAAUGCGUAGAUAUGCGGAGGAACACCGAUGGCGAAGGCAAUCCCCCUGGGCCUGCACUGACGCUCAUGCACGAAAGCGUGGGGAGCAAACAGG
rnacentral:rRNA from 1 species